rnacentral:misc_RNA from 1 species
CUCCCCUUUCUUACUCUGACUAGCCUGCCCAUGCGAUAACUCAGGUUUUUCAAUCCUCUCAUUUGCCAAUUCUCGCUUUAGCAGAACAGAAAGCGGGACCGUUUGACGCUGCCUGGCAGUCAUUAUCAUUCGCACACUCAAAAAUCACAAACCAGCACCUCUAAUUCUUCAAAAUUUUCAGAUUACAUACAACCAGUCACAGCAAAGAGAGAAUAUAUCAGCAGCGUUGGUGAUUACAGGAGGAGAAGUAGAGAAUGAGAGACAAUAGCUUAUCAUCGCUAAGAUCGAGAAACGUGGAUC